ACACUGUUCAUGUGGGCAGCAGCACAUGAGAAAUCAAAGUCUUUGGGUUCCGGGGGGAGUAUGGUCGCAAGGCUGAAACUUAAAGGAAUUGACGGAAGGGCACCACCAGGAGUGGAGCCUGCGGCUUAAUUUGACUCAACACGGGAAAACUUACCAGGUCCAGACAUAGGAAGGAUUGACAGAUUGAGAGC
rnacentral:rRNA from 1 species